rnacentral:rRNA from 1 species
UACAGAGGUCUCGAGCGUUGUUCGGAAUCAUUGGGCGUAAAGGGCGCGUAGGUGGUUCUGUAUGUCUACCGUGAAAGCGUACGGCUCAACCGUAUUUUGUCGGUAGAAACUGCAGGACUUGAGGCUGGGAGGGGCUGGUGGAAUUCCCUGUGUAGCGGUGAAAUGCGUAGAGAUGGGGGAGAACACUCGUGGCGAAGGCGGCCAGCUAGACCAGUUCUGACACUGAGGCGCGACAGCGUGGGGAGCAAACAGG